rnacentral:lncRNA from 1 species
GAAAGUUUGAAACCAAAGAAUCUCCAGCUCUUAGAGCCACAGAGCACUUGGCAAGAAACAGGCUUCUCAGCAGACUACCAUCAAGUGUAGAAGCAGACAAUUCAGAAAAAGCAAGGAUAACGCUGGAAGAAUUUUGUUUAAAGAGGGUCCUAAGGGUCUUGGGUGAAGCAGCUGGUGAAAGAGAAGGUGGAAAAACACUUGAAGCUCUACCUGUGGAAGAGUCAGUUAUCACACCAAGGAGACACAGGAGCCACCAGCUUGGGCUGACAGGCACAAUAACCAUUUAUUCAAAGAUGCCAUCUAAUGCACUAUGCCACUAAGUACUGUGGCUGGACAGUGAUUUUAAGUGUAACAAAUUAUCUUCACUUUGAAAAGAGCUUAAGAGAGAGAAAACAAAUAUUACAUCUUAAACAGAGGCAUGAAUCAAACCAACUUAUGAACGGUGAAAGCAACUUAUCAAAAUGUCUUCGGACAUAUCAAGACUGAC